AGAUUGAACGCUGGCGGCAUGCCUUACACAUGCAAGUCGAACGGCAGCACGGGAGCAAUCCUGGUGGCGAGUGGCGAACGGGUGAGUAAUAUAUCGGAACGUGCCCAGUAAUGGGGGAUAGCCCGGCGAAAGCCGGAUUAAUACCGCAUACGACCUACGGGUGAAAGCGGGGGAUCGCAAGACCUCGCGUUUA
rnacentral:rRNA from 1 species